rnacentral:lncRNA from 1 species
GAGAGAGAGAGAGGCAGAGAAAGAUCAUCCACCCUCUGGUUCAUUCCCCAAAUGGAUGCCAUUGCUGGGACUGGGCUAGACCAAAACUAGGAGCCAGGAGCUUCAUCUGGGUCUCCCAUGUAGGAGCAGAAGCCCAGGCACUUGGGCCACCGUAUGCUGCUUUCCCGGGUGCAUUAGCAGGGAGCUGAAUCAUUCCUUUUCUGUGCCAGCUCAGGAGCUCCAGCUGAACCAGUGCCCAUAGGGGAUACUGCUGCUUCAGGGAGUGGUUUAAACACUGCACCAUUGUGCCAGCCCCUGUCUCUCUGUCUUUCAAAAUCGAUAGAUCAUUUUUUAAAGAAGAAGACAUAGUGUUGAUACCAGUGCCAAGAAUGCUAUGCACUGUGUGGCCACAUUCACGCUAACAAUAAUGCAUGUGUGUGUAAAUGCUAAGUGAAGGGUUGGAAGGAUGCCCCAGAACCUUCGUGGAGGCAGCCGGGUGAGGAGAGGUAGGGAGCAGGGGGUGAGGGCUACGGGGACAGCUCAGGUCCCACACUGCUUCUGUGGGCGAUGUUCCCUCUGUAAGAGACACCUCAUGCCUGAGCCCGGAGGUGGGUGACAGGCGCCCGCGCUGAGGUGGGGCUGCAGGGCUCAUAGGGGAGUGUGGGCAGGUUGCACCCCACCUCCCCUUCCACCAGGGGGCAGCAGGGGGCACAUGUCCCUAACAAGAAGGAAGACGCUAGGAGGCCACGUGUGUGCAAAUGCAUGAGUGAAGUUGAAGGAAAACUUCACCUGGGCAAGGAAGGUGCAGACGGCAGGGGGUCGGGGGUAAGGGAGGGGAGGGGAGGGCGAGGGGGUGGCCACUCACGAUACCCCGGCAGCUCAUCCGUCACCAUUCCAUUAUUACUGGUUAUGAUCUCUGUGUUAUAGGGGGAAAGUGAGGUGCAGCGACUUGCCCCUUACUCACGCAGUUCAUGAGCGGCCAAGUGUGACCCAGAGCCAGCAGGUGGGCCCUCUCCUCCCUCUGCACCUGUUUGCAGAACCGCAACAUCAGCACAGAGAUUCAUAACCACGGCCAGGCUGAGCCAACACCAGAGGACAUCAGCACAACCGUCUCGGAAGCUUCAUGGACUGGAAAAAGAGGGGUGUCACGUGGACAUGGCCAUCGUCGCAUCACCGCAGCAACUUCCUUGGGGCAGUUUCUGAAAGUUUGGGGGCCUGGCGCUAGCGUGGGCUCAGUUGUGGUGAGUGGCCUCCCGGUUGUGCCCAUCACAGCGGCUGGCAAAUGGCAAAGUCCACAGGAGAGGCCCCAGGACCCCAGGACCAUGCACUUGACCCCACCUCUUAAAGGUCCACCCCAUCUUUCAACACUGCCCCACUGAGGACCAAGCCUCUGAUACACGGACCCUCUAGGGGGUGGACACUCAAACCCAACCCAACCACAGCAACAUGGCCCCUGGUGCCAGCGCAGAGCUGAGAG